GGUUUCCUCCUGCGCCUUCUUUCAUGCUUCUCGCCUGUGUGGUAUCAUAUCCCUUCCUCGCGCCGUUUGUUCAUCUUCAAGGUGUGGAGGUCUUGGGGCUUGAUCCCACUUUGGCAAUCAAGGCAAUUAAAGAUGGAAACAAAUCUGUCACUUUUUCUUCAGUCUCUCACUUCCUCACCGAUUAAAUUUGCUUAAAUCCACCCUGAGUUCUAUAUCUAGGAUUUUCUAUCGAUUCAUCUUCAUUUCUCUUCAUUCAGAGGGUGGUCAAUAUCGGGGCAACUGCACUGGUCACUGAAGCAGCAACUGCUAUGUUUGGUGAAGCUGAUGUCAGUGCUGCAACAGGAGUGAUGACUGAACAUUAAAUCUUUCAGUAUAUCAACAUGCUGCCCAUUAAUCUUGCAAACUCCUGAAUUGAUGUGGUGGGAACAAAGGAGGAAGCUGACACUCAAGAAGGUCGUGUGAUACAGCUUGAGGAAGAGAUCAAAGACAUUAGACAGAAAUACAAGCAAGAGUUACAGGAGGCACUGAUACAUAGGGAGCAUCUUCAGCAGAGACUUGAAAACAACAAAUUAACUGGUGAUGUGGCAUCACUUUCGAAUUGCCUUACUCUCUCUGUGCUGUAAGUUUAGCUUUCAAUUUAAUGAUUUUGUUGAGAUUUGUAAUAGAAAAUGUCUCUCUGGCCUAAUAAGUUGAAGUUUUCUUGUGAAUUUUUUAGUAAUGUGUCCUAUAACAAACUAUUUGGUUUUAUCCCCACUAGUAACAACUUUACAAGGUCAAAA